rnacentral:snRNA from 1 species
UGGUUUCUCUUCAAAUCGAAUAAAUCUUUCACCUUUUACUAAAGAUUUCCGUGGAGAGAAUUAAAAAA